rnacentral:rRNA from 1 species
AAGAUCAAGAAACUUUAGUAAGUGUACCUUUUGUAUCAGGGGAAGUCAAAAGUAAAGAUAUUUAAAAGAUCGAUUUAAGUAGAGCUUCGUAUAAAUGGCUAUAGUUGAAUUUAUAGUUUUAAUUGUGGAUGUGGUGAAAAAUGAACGGUACUUAUGGUAGCUAUUUGUUUUUUUUAUUGAAGGGUAAGCUUUCAUUAGUUUAAGCAUGUGAUAAAAUAGAUAGGGAAUUAGGCUUUGUAUUAGCCGGAUUGUUAAAUUGUUUUAAGUAACUUACUAGUGGGAAAGAUGUCUUAAAGUUAAAUAACUUAACAUACUAAUUAAAAUAAGUUUAAGUAAUGAGUUUAUUGAAUAUAGAUCGGAAUAUUUAAAUGACUCGUGAUAUGUUAGAAUGUUUAGCAAAAACAUUUUUUUUUGUGGUAAGAAAGAUAAGACCUGCCCGGUGAUUUUUAACGGCUGCGGUAUUUUGACUGUGCUAAGGUAGCAUAAUCAUUUGUUAUUUAAUUGGUAACUGGAAUGAAAGGUUAAACUAAUUUGCUCAGUUUGUCACAUUAUCUAAUAAAUUAAAGUCAAGGUAAGAAUUCUUUGAUUUACUAGGGGACGAUAAGACCCUAGAAGCUUAACAACGAGAAUAUUUAUUAGUUAUAAAAAUUAGUUUGUUUUACUGGGGCGGUAAUGAUACAUAAGCUAUCAAGUUGUUGAUGGAUCCUUAAAAUAAAGAUAAAUCGGUAAAGUUACUCUAGGGGUAACAGUGCAAUAUUUUUGGAGAGGUCUUAUCGAUAAAUAUGUUUGCAACCUCGAUGUUGAAUUAAAAUGUCUACGUGAAGCAGUAAGUACGUAAGAGGGUUUGUUCAACCCUUAAAA